rnacentral:lncRNA from 1 species
GAUCAUUGGGUUUGGAUAAAAAUAAUAAAAUAAAAUAAAAUGCAAUUGAUCAGUGGCAAAGGAGCACAAAGAUGAACGAAGGUUGAUUUAUAUGAGAUGAGUAUGUUGUUGGGGUUAGAUUUCACCAAGUUCCCUCUCAUGUAUAUAAGAAUUCUUCUUUAUGCAUCAAUGCCAACGUCCCUCACUAAAUCACUUAAACCCGAU